rnacentral:rRNA from 1 species
GACGAACGCUGGCGGCGUGCUUAACGCAUGCAAGUCGAACGGAAAGGCCCUGCUUUUGUGGGGUGCUCGAGUGGCGAACGGGUGAGUAACACGUGAGUAACCUGCCCUUGACUUUGGGAUAACUUCAGGAAACUGGGGCUAAUACCGGAUAGGAGCUCCUGCUGCAUGGUGGGGGUUGGAAAGUUUCGGCGGUUGGGGAUGGACUCGCGGCUUAUCAGCUUGUUGGUGGGGCAGUGGCUUACCAAGGCUUUGACGGGUAGCCGGCCUGAGAGGGUGACCGGCCACAUUGGGACUGAGAUACGGCCCAGACUCCUACGGGAGGCAGCAGUGGGGAAUAUUGCACAAUGGGCGGAAGCCUGAUGCAGCAACGCCGCGUGCGGGAUGACGGCCUUCGGGUUGUAAACCGCUUUCGCCUGUGACGAAGCGUGAGUGACGGUAAUGGGUAAAGAAGCACCGGCUAACUACGUG